AAAUUAAUUAACAGCACUUCUUUAUUAAACUUAAUUAUUUCUGUGACUUGAGAAAGUCGUCUCCCUCUUUCUUUCCAUUUCUUAGCGGCCGCCCGAGGCGUCGCGGGGUGAUGCCGGUCGGCCACUUACGCCCAUAAUUCCUUCGUUGGCUCCUCGUAUUUCCUUCCACGAUAUCGAAAUAAAACCCCAAAAUUUAUUUAGGCGCAUAUCUGAAUUAUCGCAACUAUUUCCAUUUGUUAAGAAAAAAUAUAUAUUCCGGACUUGGGAUAAAUUAUUCAUACUUCAAAAUUAUUUCGGGAUUUAAUUAAAUAAUUCCCCACGAUUUAAAUUAUCAGCCUAAGCAUUUAUUUUAAACUGACCCAAAUUAAUUAAGAGGUGAUCAGCCCGAAAGAAGUUUCAGUUUAUUGAUCAUAUGUUUUGUCUAUGGUUAUCACUACUCUCUCUAAUUGAUAUGUGAUAUAAUAUUGUAGUUGAAACAUGCACUGGUCGUGCUUUUCAAUGUCAUAAUGUGGGGAUGCUAUGUAAAUAGCAUGAAGUCUCCGUCGGCUUUACAAGCUACAGUGACAAACUUUGCUACAACCUUUCUAACUUUGGGAUGUCUGGAUAUAGGCCAAAAUCAAUUUCCUCUAAAUAAAAUAGGAAGGCCCAAGAAAAAUGGCCCACCAAACAAUACUCUCUUCUCCACUAUCGGUAUCUUCUCAUCCCUCUUUUCUCUUUUCUCCUUUCUUCCACCUUCCCCAAAUUGAGAAAUCCUUCCUCCCUCGUCUCUCUCUCUCUCGACAAAAUUGAAGAAAUUCUCAAUCCGGCGUCGCCUGCUCCGAUUCCGCAAGCCACCGCCGCCAUCUCCAAUACUCCUUCGACUCUAUCUCAGAUUACAACAAUCCAUUCGAUUUUUCCAAACGCCCAAUUCCAGAAUUCGUCGUGGCUCGCCGCGGUCAGCCUGUUCGUCCUCCGAUUUAGAUAGCAACGGACAUAACCGUGCGUCGCCGUCGCUGCUGUGAAAUCGCCGUGGCGGUGGAGAGAUUCUGCCGCUGAUCCGCCGGGAAGAGCUGCUGCCGGGGCGCGUCCACCGCCGUCUGCGGUCGCCACGGGUCUGCUCGUUGUUCGAACAGCCCCGAAACGACACCGCGCAGCCCCGAAACCAACCCGAACCACUCCACAAAUUAUUGGAUUGGUUACAGAGUUAUGAGAUGCACAAAAUUGAGGCUAUUGUAGAGGAAUUGAGGUACCUUUGGAGAGGAGAAACACGCACCGACGGGACCCCGGAUUUCCGACGAGAUGGUGGCGAAUCCGCCAGAGGAGAAAGGACGCCGCCUCUGAAUUCUUCGAAUUGAGAAUCGGUGGAAAAAGAAGUUAGUAGGGAAAGAG